ensembl:lncRNA
AAACCAUCUUCAUGGGCUCAUUGUGAUCAGUUUCAGUAAAGAUGGUGUCAGGACCUGAAACACUUCCUGAGAUGUCAUCGAUCAGCUCCAGUCCAGAUGAUCCAGUGACCCGGAUUCUCCUGAUGGACAGAAACGCUUCUGGGAAAACCUCAUCAGGAUUAACUUUACUGGGAGAAAAUGGAUUUAUAAUGAAUCUGAAGUUUGUGAGGAGGAAAUGUUGGUUGAUGACAAAUUGGACUGAUCCUUCUAAAUGUGCAUAUACUCGUCUCCGGGACCGAGGAAGAAGAAACUUAUAAGUGUUCCUCACACUUUGAAAAAACCUGCUGAUCUGAACGGGACUGAGUGACGGAGGAACAGCAAAUCACACGAGAGAAUAUUCAAAAUAAUAAUGGUCUUACAGCAGAGGCUGCUGCCGCCCGGGCGCAUGCGCGUGGAGUCUUUAAAAACCGUGUGCCGCGUUUCCUUUGUUGGUUUCAGAAGUGGGCCAUACGUGCGCAACACAGAGCUGCGACAGGAGACCUGCACUUACACUGACCAGAGGAGGCGAAUUAAGGUAUGGAGAAGUUUGAUUAGCUGACCGUGAAGCGUCUUUUAGCUUAAUGAUUUAUGAUAAGGAUGGAUCACGGUCGCUGUGCUUUUUAAGUAUUCUGGAGAGGAUAACGUCAGCGACAGAAUGAGGUGCAGUAGGGACAAAAUAACAGAAAUAGAAAUUAAAGUUGUAAUUUUAAUCUAAUAAACGUAUAACUGUUAAAUGCGUGUUUAUCAGUGUAAAACAGUGUAAAACUGAACGACCGCAAUAAGCAUUAGUUACCUGGAAUAAAAUGAAACAGAGCUAACAAAGAUUAAAAAUAAAUAAAAACAAACUGUUUAUCAGUACAGGUUGAAUGAAUGUCUAUAAUUAAAGUGAUGAUGAUUUGUGCAGCGCUAUAUGACCCCUGUCAGAUAGCUAUAGGAUCCAAAAAUCCACUCGUGCCAUUUUUCUAACAAUACAGGCAGAAAGGAGCAGGAGAAGGUUUCGAUUCAGUGCUGCGCAUGCGCGCCAUUGUCAGCGUUCUUUGCAAGAACAGCGUC